rnacentral:SRP_RNA from 1 species
UUGUAGGCUAGGCUGGGUGUUUAGGCCGCACCUGUAACUGCAAACGGUCUUUAGCAGGGUUGAAGCUUUGAGGGCGGUAUGAUGGUUUGGAAUGGUCCUGGCAACUACUUUGAUACUCUGUCCCGAUUGGCUUAUACUUAUGUGAACUAGAUCAGGUGGGGAACCAAGCAGUCUUAAGCUUUCGUGUGGGUGCUUUUGGGGUUGCGGGGUUGAGGAACGGUUAGGGUUAUACUUUUCUGGGUCAUUGUAUCCACCUUGAAGCAUGCCUACUU